GAUGAACGCUGGCGGCGUGCCUAAUACAUGCAAGUCGAGCGAACAGACGAGGAGCUUGCUCCUCUGACGUUAGCGGCGGACGGGCGAGUAACACGUGGAUAACCUACCUAUAAUACUGGGAUAACUUCGGGAAACCGGAGCUAAUACCGGAUAAUAUAUUGAACCGCAUGGUUCAAUAGUGAAAGACGGUUUUGCUGUCACUUAUAGAUGGAUCCGCGCCGCAUUAGCUAGUUGGUAAGGUAACGGCUUACCAAGGCGACGAUGCGUAGCCGACCUGAGAGGGUGAUCGGCCACACUGGAACUGAGACACGGUCCAGACUCCUACGGGAGGCAGCAGUAGGGAAUCUUCUGCAAUGGGCGAAAGCCUGACGGAGCAACGCCGCGUGGGUGAUGAAGGUCUUCGGAUUGUAAAACUCUGUUAUUAGGGAAGAACAGAUGUGUAAGUAGCUAUGCACGUCUUGACGGUACCUAAUCAGAAAGCCCCGGCUAACUUCGUG
rnacentral:rRNA from 1 species